rnacentral:rRNA from 1 species
UACGGAGGGUGCGAGCGUUGUCCGGAAUCACUGGGCGUAAAGGGCGCGUAGGCGGCUGGGUAGGUCCGUUGUGAAAACUCGAGGCUCAACCUCGAGACGCCGAUGGAAACCCCCCAGCUAGAGUCCGGAAGAGGAGAGUGGAAUUCCUGGUGUAGCGGUGAAAUGCGCAGAUAUCAGGAAGAACACCCGUGGCUAAGGCGGCUCUCUAGUACGGUACUGACGCUGAGACGCGAAAGCGUGGGGAGCGAACAGG